rnacentral:lncRNA from 1 species
GUCUCCAGCAGGCUUCUGCUGGGGACCUUGCUGGGAGGAGGUGUGGGCACAACUUGCCUGGCACGUCGAGAGCAGGCAAAGCUGGAGCUGGCACAAGAACACUCACUUUGGGGCCAGUGGGAAGAGGGUGUGGGGGGUGGGGUGGAGAAAAUUAGUCUGGAAUCUAUUUGCUGAGAAGCAGGGCAGCAAAGAGACCAAGAAGGAAAGGCAGAGACAGUCUGAGGUCCUACCCUCUGAAAAUAUCACUUUCUUGGUUUUCUUGUCCUCAAGUUGCUGGCCCACAUCAGCA